rnacentral:rRNA from 1 species
GCAAGUCGAGGGGCAGCAUUACUGCUUGCAGUAGAUGGCGACCGGCGGACGGGUGCGUAACGCGUAUGCAACUUACCCUGUACAGGGAGAUAGCCCAGAGAAAUUUGGAUUAAUAUCCCAUAAUAUCAUAGAGCAGCAUUGUUUAAUGAUUAAAGAUUUAUCGGUACAGGAUGGGCAUGCGUAUGAUUAGCUAGUUGGUAAGGUAAUGGCUUACCAAGGCAACGAUCAUUAGGGGGCCUGAGAGGGUGAAC